rnacentral:rRNA from 1 species
CCUACGGGGGGCAGCAGUGGGGGAUAUUGCACAAUGGGGGAAACCCUGAUGCAGCGACGCCGCGUGUGGGAAGACGGUCCUCUGGAUUGUAAACCACUGUCCCCAGGGACGAAGAUGACGGUACCUGGGGAGGAAGCUCCGGCUAACUACGUGCCAGCAGCCGCGGUAAUACGUAGGGAGCGAGCGUUGUCCGGAAUUACUGGGUGUAAAGGGAGCGUAGGCGGGACUGCAAGUUGGGUGUCAAAUCUACCGGCUCAACCGGUAGCCGCACUCAAAACUGCAGUUCUUGAGUGAAGUAGAGGCAGGCGGAAUUCCUAGUGUAGCGGUGAAAUGCGUAGAUAUUAGGAGGAACUCCGAUUGCGAAGGCAGCAUACCGGCGCUCAACUGACGCUCAUGCACGAAAGCGUGGGUAUCGAACAGGAUUAGAUACCCCUGUAGUC